rnacentral:rRNA from 1 species
CAACUUUCAACACCGGAUCUCUUGGCUCUCGCAUCGAUGAAGAACGCAGCGAAAUGCGAUACGUAAUGUGAAUUGCAGAAUUCAGUGAAUCAUCGAAUCUUUGAACGCAUAUUGCGCUCUUUGGUAUUCCGAAGAGCAUGCUUGUUUGAGUAUCAGUA